GGGCAAAAUAUAGUCUUCAUAUCAGCUGGGCGAAAUAAAGUCUUCAUAAUCAUUUGAAUUGCAAACUGCGUCGGAUAUUUUCAAUAAGAACUGCAUGGUUAAUUAAAGGUAUAAUACACUGACGAGAAUCUGACAUCGUGUAAAUAUAUCUGUUGCUAAAAUGUUUCUUAUUUGUCUUGUUUCUUUGUUGUUUUAUAAACAGAAUUUCAGAUUAUUUCUUUUUUCAUUUAACAUUGUUCAUAAAUUCUGUCUUAACAAAGUUUCUUUAAUUGUAGAUGGAGAGAAAGAUUGAUAUAUUAUUAUAGCUCGAGGUUAUUUUUCGUUGAUUUUCAUAAUUUUAUCUUUAUCACUUUGACGUUCCACCAGGAAGUUGCUGAUAUAGUUGGCUGAUAAUAAGUCCUUAAGGGCUCGUUCUGUAAGGGCGUCUUUCAUUGGUCAAUAUUGUGUGUUCAACCGUGAAUUUGUCAGUCCCGUUUUGCAUUCGUGGCAGAAACUGUAAGCUAACUGGCCAUUAUACUUUUGCUUGUAUUGUGUGCAGACGUGUUUUUGUUUUAGAAUUUAAUUAAAAUUCCACCGUAAUACGAGCGCUCAGAUAUAAUAAAAGGACAUAACAAUGGACAAAAAGAAUGAUUACACGUAUUCAAGUUAUUAUAAGACUCGUUUGACAAAGACUGUGUAUCCAUGUCAUCCGUCUCUAUGGACUGAUCAGAAUGCGAAGCACCUGAUUCCAUACGGGAUUCAUUAUCAAGGACCUCCCUAAAGGCAGAACUUGUAAAUUCUGACCCUCGGUCAUGAAUUAUCUGGAGAGGACAUCCAUAUCAAGAAUAUAUCUCAAUCAAAAAUUCUGGUGGUCGUGAAAAGAAAUCAGCAAUAACAUUUGCUUUUCCUGGAAGAUACUCUAUCUUACAGAUGUAACCACUAAUAGACAAUGCCCAUAACUGAAUUUUCUUGUUUUGCAUUGGACUUUUCAAUAAAACCUGGAGCGGAGAAUGGUCGCAUUUGAUUGUAAAUUCAGCAUUGUGUAAAAAGAAGUCUAAACGUUGCAAAGAAUAAAAGAUGGCGUACGCCUCCUUCUCAAUAGUGCUGUAUUUCUUUUGUGUUUCACUUAGUUUAUGAGACAGAAAAUAUAUAGGUCUUUCUUUAUUUUCAUCUGAUUCUGGUGAAUUAUAGGCUUGAGUUAAGCACGCUGCCACAUGACUAUCGCUGGUAUCUGUGUACAAUGUAUACGGCUUGUUUGGAUCUGGGUAGGAUAAGAAAGGAAUAGCUGUUAAUUGUUCUUUAAUUUUUUCAAAACUUUUCUGAUAUUCUUCUGUCCAAAUAAAUGGAGACUUUUUCCUUGUUAGGUUUAUAAGAGGUUCUGCUAUUUCUGAAAAUGAGGAGAUGAACCGACGAUAAAACGAGGAUGCCCCGAUUAUUUUUCGAACUUCACGCACAUUUUUUGGAACCGGAAGUUACCUAAUAGCUUUAACUUUAUCAGGAUUAGGUCUGAUGCCAUCUUCAUCUAUGACAAAACCUAAGUAUUUGGUUUUAGGCUGCAUGAAUUGACACUUUUUCAACUUAAGUUUGAUUUUAUGCUCUCUUAACCUUUGAAAAAUAUGUCUAAGUGGCGUUUAUGUUCUUCUGAUGUUUUACUAAAGAUGAAGCAAUCGUCCAAGUACGCGACAGCAAAAUCUAGACCCUCUAAGACUUUAGACAUUAGUUCCUGGAACACCCCAGAGACAUUAGCUAAUCCGAAGCACAUAACGUUAAAUUCGAAUAGACCCCUGAAUGUGGUAAAUGCAGUUUUUUCUUUAUCUUUUUCAUCAAUCGGUAUUUGCCAAAAUCCUGAGCGACAGUCUAGGGUAGUUCAGUAUUUUGAUUCACCUAAAAGAGCCAACAUAUCAUAGAUAUGAGGUAGAGGGUAUGCUGUGGGUCUCACCAGGUAAUUGAUCCUCCUAAAGUCUAUACAAAAUCUGGUACUGUUGUCGUUUUUCUUUUUAACCAGAACGACAGGACUUGCAUAGGGAUUUUGAUAAGGUCUUAUUACGUUAGCCUUAAGCAUUUCAUCUAUAGCGUCACUUAUAAUUUUCCUAUCAUUUAAUGGUACUCUACAUGGUCGCCGCUUUAUCGGUUCAUGUUCUAUAGUAGGAAUUUUCAUUGUAAUCGUCUGUGACAAUUCUGAGUCAUUAUUCGCAAAAACGUCCCUAUUUGUUUGAACUAAUUUUUCUACAUACUGAAAGUGUUCUUUUGGUGCUAUUAUUUCUUUUUGUAUUAAUACUUGACUUUUCACCCUUAUUGUUUGAUAAUUCAUUGACAUCAGAAACAGAGGCUAUACAUUUUUCAUCAAUUUGUUCAACA